rnacentral:lncRNA from 1 species
CCCCCAGUCCCUAGUCUGGUUUUCAGAGAAGAGACACUGUGUUGGGCAAGCAGGCAGCUGGGGGGGGGGGGGGUGUCUGCCCAGGAGGCCUGGAGCUGGAGGGGGCAGCUGCAGAGGGAGCUGGAAAUUGGGGGGGGGGGAAGGGUUGUGCAGAGGAUGGAGCAGGCUCCACCUUCUUGCCUUUCGGGGACCGGCCAAGGCUGGAGCUUUGAGCUGCUGAGACAGACCACCUGCACAGGGAACAUGCAUCUCCUUUAAAGAUAAUAGGAAGAAAGAGGCUUGGCAUGGAGCAAGCUACUUAAGGACUAUUUAGGAAGAGACCUCCACAUGAAGGUGUUGGGAAGAACAGCACAUUGAAUAGUGACAUCCCUACGACAUGCCUCUCCAGGUGGUGCGACAUGCCUCUUCUCUUACCCAGGGCGCCUUGCCUCAUUAUCUCCCCCCCACCCCCCCUUUGAGUCACAGGAAGAAGAUGUGACUUUGAGAAACUGGUCUUCAAACUGGAGAGAGAGAGAGAGGGGCAUCUAGGUAAUGCUAAGUCAGAUUUUGAGACCUCCGAGGCUUGGUGCCCGUGUGUGUGUGUGUGUGUGUGUGUGUGUGUGUGUGUGUGUGUGUGUGUGCGCGCGCGCGCAUGCAUGUGUGUAGAAGGGGGAACAUGGGGACAUGGAUACAGGAGACGACACGAUGUAGGACUCCCUCCGUCCUAGUGCCCCACUCCUUAGCAAGGGUUCCCAGCUCAUGUCCAGCAGAAUAACAUUUUAGUUUCCAACUAAAGCGAUCAUCCUGAAAGUACCCGAAAGCAUUUUCCUCUGGGGAUGAACUCCAUAGAGCCUUGGGGCUCCGGGUGAUUUAGCAGCCAAAGACUGCACUGCUCCCUAGAGUAGUCCUUCUGAGGAAGUGUUAGCUUCUCCUCCAUGCUUCCCGGACACUGGAGGGACUGCAACUCCUGUGUGGGACUCUUCUGUUUCAGUCGAUUCUAACAAUUGAUCUUACAAGGAGUCGAGGAAGAAGGAGGAGGAAGAGAAAGGUAAAGGCAGAGGAGGAGGAAGAAAGAAAAGAGGAAGAGGAGGGGGAAGAAAAAGAAGAAAGAAAAAGGGAGGAAGGGAAAGGAAGGAGAAAUAGGUCCAGUCUGGCCGGGUCUGCAAAGGAGAUGUGCUUCAAGGACGGCGAUUGUUAUGGUCUUAAUGUUUGUGUCUCCUUAAAAUCCACACGCUGGAAGGAACCUUUGGCCCUAAAGAUGGCAGUACAGAGAUGUUGGGCCUUCUGUGGGUGGUUUGGUCAUGAAGACAGAACUGCCCUCAUUCCCAGCUGGACUAGCACUCUUAUAAAACAAGCUCCAAGACCUGUUUGCCUUCCCUCCCAUGUGAGCUGAUUAUGACAAAGGAAGUAGGGCCCAGCCAGACCCCCACCCCCACCCCGAACCUUGAUCUCGGACUUCUCUGAAACUGUGAGGAAUAAAUGUUUAUUUGUGAGUAAGCUUCCUGGUCUUAGGCCUUUUGUUAUAGUAACCCCAGUGGACUCAUGCUCUGGUGGAAAAUUCAAGAGUCUACACCAAUAGCUCAAGAGCCAGAGCAGUCGGGCCUAGGACAGUGCAAACAAACGGUGAAACCUACCUUGCCAUUGUCAGAGGCGUGGCCUCAGCAGAGGCGUGGCUUCAGCAGAGGCGUGUCCACUGUAGGAAUAGAGCAAAAUAAAGCCUAGAAAUGCGGAGGAGACUGUCCAGUUUAUUAAGGAGAGUAUAUGACAUCAGAUUCUAGUCACAGCAGACUGGGCAGCCAGUGAGAUGGAGGUCUGUAUGAAAACCAGAAAUGUUCCUCAUUUUUGUAAUGUACUAAGGGUUUUGUAAAGAUUCUGCAUGGAAACUGUGAAUCAAGUUCAGGCCACCCUCUUUCCCAUGUCCAAAGGACACAAUGUGUCCUGACACCUGGAAAUCCCUUUUGUCUCCACUCACCCAAAGUCCUCAAACACCACACACCCAUGGUUUGAGGUCUUUCUCAUCUCUGCUCUUUUGCUUUUGUCUCUUUUUAAGACACUAGCUUGCCAUUGUCCCACGGAUUGGGCUCCCAAGGCCAGAUAUAUAAUUUACGUGAUUCACAACUUUAAUACAUUAAAGAUUAUUUAUUUAUUUA